rnacentral:rRNA from 1 species
UACGAAGGGGGCUAGCGUUGUUCGGAAUUACUGGGCGUAAAGCGCACGUAGGCGGAUCUGUAAGUAGGGGGUGAAAUCCCCGGGCUCAACCCGGGAACUGCCUUCUAGACUGCAGACCUUGAGAUCAGGAGAGGCGAGCGGAAUUCCGAGUGUAGAGGUGAAAUUCGUAGAUAUUCGGAGGAACACCAGUGGCGAAGGCGGCUCGCUGGACUGAUACUGACGCUGAUGCGCGAAAGCGUGGGGAGCGAUCCGG